GCCGCGGUAAUUCCGCUCCAAUAGCGUAUAUUAACGUUGUUGCAGUUAAAAAGCUCGUAGUUGAAGUGAGGGAGUGUGUAGUAGGACCGACUUGAUCGGAACUGCUGCAACCUCCCCCCUCCAAUCGGUGUAGUGGGGUAUUCACUUAUUCCACUACUCCUUUGGUCGUUUACUGUGAGAAAAUUAGAGUGUUCAAAGCGGGCGUUUGUUUGAAUAGAUUAGCAUGGAAUAAUGAUUGAAGGCUUUCGUGUUCGAUUUGAUUGGUUUGUUCAUGGAAGCAAGGUUAAAAGGAACAGUUGGGGGUAUUCAUAUUCACUAGUUAGAGGUGAAAUUCUCGGAUUUAUGGAAGAUGAACAGGUGCGAAAGCAUUUACCAAGGAUGUUUUCAUUAAUCAAGAACGAAGG
rnacentral:rRNA from 1 species